GACGAACGCUGGCGGCGUGCUUAACACAUGCAAGUCGAACGGAGUGGCGAACGGGUGAGUAACACGUGGGUGACCUGCCCUGCACUUCGGGAUAAGCCUGGGUAACUGGGUCUAAUACCAGAUAGUGUGGGAUGGGGCCGGGGCCUAUCAGCUUGUUGGUGGGGUAAUGGCCUACCAAGGCGGCGACGUGUAGCCGGCCUGAGAGGGUGGACGGCCACAAUGGGACUGCGACACGGCCCAGACUCCUACGGGAGGCAGCAGUGGCGAAUAUUGCGCCAUGGGCGGAAGCCUGAUGCAGCGACGCCGCGUGUGGGAUGACGGCCUUCGGGUUGUAAACUCCUUUCACCAUCGACGCGGUAGAUGGAGAAGAAGCACCGGCUAACUACGUGCCAGCAGCCGCGGUAAUUC
rnacentral:rRNA from 1 species